GUUCAUGUUAAAAUGAAGUGAGAUUAGGGUUCUAAGAGAGAGCAGUCAAAUAUUUGAGUACUAAUAAUGCCUGGGUGUCUGUUAUUACUUUUGAGGCAGUGAAAUUCUUUUGGCUUCAGGAAUUACACUGCAAACAUUUAAUGUGAAUGUGGACAGAAAAGAAUACAAUUAGGACCAGGGAAGCCUUAGAAGUAUCUGUGGGAACACAAUGGUCUGGAGGGAGGGGGCUCUGCCAGAGCUCCCUGGAGCUGGGAAUGGAAGUGCUUACAAUUGAGUAGGGAAGAAAGAUAUAUAAGAAGACAAAAUAUAGAGG